rnacentral:lncRNA from 1 species
GGAAGAUAGCCUAACGCUUCACAACAAGGCUAGAAAUGUUUCCUAGCAGUCUGGGACUUAAAAAGAAUAUAGCCUACAAAUAAAAGGUGUGUACUUUCCCCCCAGAUCAUCUAAAAUACCUCUGCAGUGCCAGGCUGACAUUUGGGGGCUCCCCAGCUCACGCUACUGCUAUUUAUCUUGUGUAUAUCACCGUGGCAUUUAAGUGCCUUAUCACAGUACAUGGUGAAGGAGCUUGACUUUCUGAGCUGUGUUUCUCUAUCACUCGUUCAAGAGUGAGGACUGUUCCUAUAGUUUGGAGAAAUGCUCAUAACCAAUAAGUGGGGGAGUGAGAGAACCAGGGUGCCCUGUUUCUUAGGGCUGCCUUCUUUCUGCCUUCUCACUGAGGAGUCAAUCCAUACCAUUCCUUAGCUUACUCCUCUUCCCACUGCCAUUCUUUUCUCUCUUCUCCCUCUCCUCUCUCUUUCCCUUAUCAAUUCAAUACAGUAAAUGUUUUGCAAGUACCUAUUAUGUGUUCAGUGCUGGGGAUACAAAGAUUAAAAUAACAGACAGCUCCUGUCACCCUUUACUAAGUGUGAAGCAGCAAAUAAAUGGAGAAGCAUUACUAGGAUAGGGCACUGAAUUACCAAAUAGGGGGGAGUCAAGACCCCAGUUUAGAAAGGAAUGCUACUGAGCACCAUCAAUGCCAUCAAAAGAAAGAUGAGGAGUGCCAUCUACUGUAUACAACUGACUCCACUUCAUACUGUGAACUAUACUUGCUUUUCUAUCCCUAGAGAAAGGAGAUCCACAAGCUACACUACUCAAUUCAUAUUAUCAAUCAUAGGAAGCCUUCAUUUAUAUGUGGUGGUGUGAUUGUAAAGAGUAACACCAUAAGGAUUGGAUCUCCAAAGGAACCUUAAUCAUAGAAUAACCUCAUCCAGAGGAGAGAGCCUUUGUGUCACAGGACUGUGAUGUCAAACAAAUAAAAACAGGACCCCUACUUGGUUGAAGUGCUUG